rnacentral:rRNA from 1 species
UACGGGGGGGGCAAGCGUUGUUCGGAAUUACUGGGCGUAAAGGGCUCGUAGGCGGCCAACUAAGUCAGACGUGAAAUCCCUCGGCUUAACCGGGGAACUGCGUCUGAUACUGGAUGGCUCGAGUUUGGGAGAGGGAUGCGGAAUUCCAGGUGUAGCGGUGAAAUGCGUAGAUAUCUGGAGGAACACCGGUGGCGAAGGCGGCAUCCUGGACCAACACUGACGCUCAGGCACGAAAGCGUGGGGAGCAAACAGG